GCGGGGGAAUUCACCACCAUAACUAUUUUGAUAGCGUUGUAGUGAGGUUCGUUCGUCACUAUGUACCUUAGGUCUAUAUUUAGAGGUCCAAGUCUUGGUACCAAUAGAAAUAGGUAUUUAGAAAUUAAAAAUCGAGGUUUUAAAGUGCACUAGAAUAAAGCGUUGAAAGAUCCUAGAGAAGUCACAAAUGGAAGAAUACGUAAAAUAUAUUCAAGAUGGCGGAGUCAUCGCCCGGUAGAGAACCGUAGUUACUGCGCAUUUAAGUUUGACGUCGUUAAAAAUGGCUAGAAAUCAGCUGGCGUUCAAGGAUUAUAAUAAAAGAUAUGCCACUGCUCAGUCUGAAGAGACUUCAAAUAAAGGUAUAAUUACCAAUUAAAUUAAUCAAUCGUGGUAUAUCUUUUAUGUUAAAGCUUAGGUAAAAAUAGGUGUUAAAGAGAAACUAUUAUAAAACGACUUAUCGAGUUACGGGCAGGCAGGUCGGUCCGUUAGUCAACGUUUUGUUACUGGUCCAGUUGACAGCGUCGUUUCUCGUACUUCAUAUUUGGUCCGCGGCAAGGCGUCCGUUGUAGAGAAAUGUCCCUUUAGGGAAUUUUAAAAUAUUCUCUAGAAAGAUAUUUAUUAUAUAUAUUGGAGCUGCAGGCAGGCUUGUUCGCGAUAGGAGUUUUUAAUCAAUAAGAGAUAGACAUCGAAAAUACGUGGAAAAAUACUAAUGUAGUCAGCAUUAAUAUAAAUAAAGUUGUAAGUUCAUUAAUAGAUUAGGUUGAAUAAACAAAAUUAGAUUUAGUAAAACCGUACAUAAAUUAAAGAUUCGAGUCUAAACAGUUAAACGGGAAAAUUUAGCCGGACGAUGACAUUAUUUUUUAGUGGAAUAUUUAGUAAAUUAUUAAAUGAUUGAACAUCCAAAACUCAACUAUCAAAGGUAACUACUAUAACUGACCGGAACACAUAGGUAGGUCAGUCGAAACGUAGCUCGUCAAAAUAUUGGCUAAUUAUGUACUAAUGAAUAGUCAUUGCUCCGGAAAUAUUUAAAAAAAACGACAAAAGCUCGACUCAAAUAAUUUGUGUACGUAUUUCACAAAAAUAUUGUCAUUUAAACCCAUAUAAUAGAUAAUAACAAAUUUUAUUAUAAUUGGUACACUCCUCUCAUUAGCAUUUAUUUCAUUCUGUUAAUUGAAUUUAAAUAUUUCUGUAAAAAUAUAAAAUAAAUUAUUCAUAAUUUCUGUUAAUGUUUUUGUAUGAUUCCCGAUUUAUUUCAGCUUAGAUAUCAAUCACCAAUAUUUAUAUUUCAGUUGCUAAAUUUUUACGCGGCCGCAGAAAUCAAAUUUAUCGUUUUUUAAAACGGAACAAAGUUAACUUUAACUUUCUAAGAUCGUUAUAGAAAGGUAGAGCAUUUUUUAUUUAACAAUGUCUUCAAUUAGCAUCGAAACGGUAAGGAUAAGGCCUAAUUUAGCAUGACAUGCAUUUAUUUGACUCGGAGAACGAUACGUUUGAUAUGAAUUGGAAAAGGUCGGAAUUAAACCUAAAUCAAGUAUUGAGAAUUUAAAAUCCAGGAAAGAUUAUUCGAUAUCGACAAAAAUAUCGGCAGCACAUAGAAAUAGAAAUCUCUAUAAAGAAAAUCGUUUUUAAUCACAAGGAGGAAGGAUAUAAAUAUUCUAAAAGAGUCUUUAAACGUUGCUUUAAUAUUUGUAGCAAUUUGGUAUAUUGGAUUUUAAAAAUAAAAGUUGAGCUAAACUUUAAAAUAAUACGUAUUAACGUAUCGGAUUGACGAAAUUGAUAUGUAAAUCAUUGAACGUCAUUAUAACUUAAAACAUACGGACCAACAAAUUUUAGGAUCAAAUAAACCCAACGAUUUGAUUGAUUUCGAGAUUUUAAGAAAACGAAAACAAGUACUAGCUUAGGAGACUAUUACUAUGAAAGUAUUAUAUACCGAAUCUAGAGGUAAACGGUUGGAAAGAAGUUCACGUCAAAGAGACAAGGUUAUUAAUAUUUUUUAAAACUACGCGUGAGGUAUAGGUACAAAUAUAUCGUCAUGCCGUUAAUCUAGUGGAGAGCAUUAGAAAUGAAUUACUGCUUAGCCAGUAAGUAAAUGUGCGUUACGAGUAGUUCAGUCUAUUGGUACGCGAACCAGAAAGAAAUAAAAAUCCUUAAAUCCAAAAAUAGGUAAAACUAUAUUACAUGAUUCACACCGAUUUCGCUAUUUCAUAACAAGUUCAAAUAAAUAUAAAUGAUGCAAAGGAAACAGGUUAGUUUUGGAAAUAACUGCCUCAAAAAUGACACAACAAUUGGAUUCAGACAUAAGAUAAGUAAUAAUUUUGAGAAACUUAGCAAAAUAUGUUCCACCGAAAUCGGAAAUUAACAAUCGGAUCUUACGGAUUAACAAGUAAUUAUCUAAAUUCUAAAAUUUUAUACAGAGACGAAAGGUCAGUGCAUAUGUGCAUUUAUGUAUUAAAUAUUUUUGUAUGUAUUUUAUGUGUGUAUAUUAUACUAGCUAUAUUAUUUUUGCUUCGUUCUAUUAAUGCUCUUUAACCGGGAAAUCAAAUUCAGGUAAACAUGCCAUAUUCUUUCAUGUAAGUUAUAUCUCACACCUCAGAAAGGUCACGGAACACCUAAGCAUGAACCUAUUCACUUUAGCAGGAAAAUUAAUUUAAUUUUUAGGUUGAUUUUCAUAUUUUUUUGUAUUAAUUUGCACAUUCUCAAGAAAGAAAAUUAGAAGAGACAGAAAAUCAAGUAAUGAAUAAAGAAAUAUUUCAAGAAUUAAGAAGAUUAGUUAUAGCUAAUCUAAAUAUUUUAAGUGAUUUAAAUGUGCAGUUUUUACAAGUAUGAUGUUAAUGCAAGUAAAUUGUGGAUAUAGAGGAAAGUUUGAAAUAGUUGAGUGAUGGUUAAUAUGUGGUUGUUUUAAUAUUUGUUUCGAUAUGUUGAAAUAUCACACGCUUUUAUCUGUCAGCCACAUGUAGAAAUAACUAAUAGCAUGAUAGCGGGUAGCUAUUUCAACAUCGUGGAGUUAGUGAGAGUGCUAAUAUUGGUUUCAGUGGUGAUGAAGUUUGAGGAAAGCUUAAGAAGGCUAUAAGCAAUGUUUGUUGUGUUUGUGAAGUGCUUAUUUCAACUUUAUAAAGCAGAGUCUAAUGAAAAACUAAAUUUGCGUUUCGCUUAUAAAACCCAUCACCCCGUAAACACAUGUAGGAAAUUAUCUGUUCACAGAAUGUUAUCAUGCUCGCUUGAAACACAAACAUAAUGGAUUUGUAGAAUAAACAAACCCGGUAUCGAUGACUAAUCUAAUGACUGCUGGUCUCAAUGAAUGGAAAGUCCAAAGCAAGCUUCAAGCACGUGCUUGUCUAGAACUUCAGCAUUUUGUCCCUUAGACCUAGAUCUCGCUAACAGUGUGCUUUCAGAGUUAGACCUGUUACGCUUUCAAAUUGUGGAUGAGGGAUAGUUUAGAAUUCAUUAAAAUCAGCUGAUACAUCAGGCAAGUUAAAGCCCGGCAAAACACAUUUGAGAAAGACAUCUAAACGCACAAUGGAAUUUCUUUGAUUAAAUUAGUUAUUGGAAAUUUUCCUUAAUAGCUUUUAGUAGAAACAUUUAAUUCAGGUUUCAAGUGCUGCAAAUUGCUAUUCAGAGAGACCACAUCUUUCUAUGUAAUGUAUAAAAUGUAUAACGUAACGCUUUUGUAGAAAAAAUACCUACACUUAACAUAAGGAAACGGGAGAGGCCAAAAACUACUCUAAAAUGGUAAUACUUGUUAAUGUAUUGCAUGAAAAUUAACUUCACCUUAACACGACUAGUAGAUAGGGAACGGCUUUUAGUAUGUUUCAGAUUUUUACGGCUAAUAAGCUAAUGUCGCACGAGACUGCAUAGAUUAAUGGAAUUUUUCAUAAGCUAGGCAAAAAUGCUUUCUCAGCACUUCAUGAAUAUUACACAGGUACUUUCACCAUAAUAGGUUUAGGAACACAAACAUUUUCAAAUGUUUCAGAUUCGUUGGAAAGCUCAUCAUUGGUAAUGCACGAUUAUGCUUAAGCAGUUUAAAGGAAAUCACUUAGCGUAAAAGCCGUAUUUUUUAAUGUUAAUGUGUACGGUGCCACUAAUGAAGUAUUUCAGGAAAAUUUAUAAAACAUAAAAAGUUAAUAAAAGGCAAAGGAAUUAUGUCUAAUAGGAAUAAGAUAACGGAAUCUAAAAGGGGCUGUGAUAUCAAAUCAGUAAUAAUUUAAACACUUAACUAAAAUGUUGUCGACGCGAUGUAGAUUUUAAGUAAGUAAUGAUUUAUGUAUUAUAUUUCUCAAAUCGAGAAUUGGUUAGGGUGCAACUAACUUGUUUCAGAUUAAACUUCCGAAAUAUCUGAAGAUCACCAAUUAACAGAAGCUUAUUAUAAUUUAUUAUAUUUUUAUGGAAUUUGUAAUAAAACGGAAACUUAUAAAGCAAACUCAAUGUAAGAAAACGAAUUAAAUAAUUAUUAUUUACAUAUGAAAAAUGUUUUCCUAAAACAAAAGAAUGUAUAAUAUAAAUUUACAAAUGGCAACUGGUUUUCAUUUAUUUUAUAUUAUUCGCAGAAGUCGGUAUUGUUUCUCUUUAUUUGCAGACAUCUGGUUCAUAGCGAUCACAUCACGACAUCACGUUACCUUCAUGUAAUAACGUUUGACUUUAUUUAUAUAUAUUGCAAUUUAUAUGAGUAAGUUAGGGUUCCAAUAAUGUACAUGUUUCAGAUAAUAAGGAGCGGUAUGGCCGCGUAAUUUUUUUUCUUUUAACACUGUUCCCAGAAAUCGGCUAGGCGACGCGAGCCCAGCCAAACAUGUUUAGCCACCAAGGCAAAUUAGGUAAAAAUAUUGAACGCUACAUUAUCACAAUUUCUAUUAUGAAACUCAUAAUUUACAAAAGUAAUUAAAGUAUUCUCUACGUAUGUUUCUAUUGAUUAUUACUAGUAUUAGUACUAGGUAGGGUGCAAUUAAUUCCAAUGUUUCAGAGGAAAACUGCGCGUUCUCGUACCGCGGCCGUGCCGGGAUAAUUUAACUCAGAAAAUUUGGUUUAAAAUCUGUUUACAGAAAUCCUGUCUGAAGGUUGAGGCGAUUACGAAUUACGGCUGUACAGUCGAUACUGUAAGUUAGGAUGAUAACCAUUAAAAUAACCAACAUUUUUAUUGAUAAAACGUUAGGCACUAAUCAUUGGAUAAUUCGACAAAAGUGCGUAAGCACACAAGCCCGUUAUUUUGCUAUGUUCACAGAAACCCUGAAAGGUUAAGAAACUAUUCGACAGAACAGUAAAUUAGGUAAAACUGAAAAUCUUGAAAAAUUUUAGGUUAGGAUCCCAAUAAUUCAAAUGUUUCAGAUAGUUGCAUCGACGUGCUGGGGCUUGAAUUGUAGAUACAAUAACUUUAUUUGCAGAAAUCGGUUUAAUAAUUUUUCGCAGAAAUCCUGAGGUGCAAGCACAGUAUCCGGUACUGUAAGUCACGAGAACCCCCACUUUUGCGCUUUUACCUAUGCUAGGGCUUUAGCGUAAGCAAAAAUCGUUUGUCUUUAUGUUCACAGAAAUCCCGAAGAGCAUGCAUUUUACGAUGACGCAUAAUACAGUUCAUGAUACUGUGAGUUAAAAAUAAUUUUGACCCUAACGCUACUAGUAUGUGUAGGGAUCUAGUAUAAGGCAAAAUCGGUUUUGACAAUGUUCACAGUAUUCCGGUUUCUCAAGGAUAGUCCCUGACAUUUGACGUGUUUAAGCGGCAAACGGUCCACAGUGCUGUAAGUGACAAAAGUUAUUGGUAGGGAAUAAUAUAAGCAGAAAUCGUUUUCUAAAAUGUUCACAGAAAUCAUGAAUGCAGGCUUUAUUGGCGAUCAGGCUGUUAACCGUUAUCUUUCUGUAAGUCACGUUACUAUAUGCCUAUAGGCUACCAUUAGCUAGGAAACUAGCAUAAGGAAAAACGAUAAUUGAAAUGUUCACAGAAAUCCUGAGGGAUAGAAGCAAUCAUUUGACAUGUUCGGGCGUCAAUACAGUCCCCGGUACUGUAAGUUACGAACCCUCCUUAAACAUAAUCCUCAUUUAACGGCAUUGUUAUUAUUAGGGCCAAAUUUGCAGAAAUGCGGAAUUUUUCUGUGCUUUCAGAAAGCGAGUGGUGAUGAGCGAAUGAAACUGCACGUUCGGAUUCUUGGUAAUAUGUAUAUAUUUUGACGCUUUAAUUAGGUGUAGGUAGUUAUAUCGCAGAUGUCGUUGUUUUGAAUGCUUGCAGAAAUCCUGUAACUGAGCAUAUCGAGUGCCUGUGUCGAGGCGUCGCGACACGGGAAUAAAGGUAUCCGAAAAUAUCUUUGGCCUAAAUAUUUGCAUGUAGGACGUGUUCUUUUUAGUUUGUUUCAGAUUGCCCCCUUAGCGUUGUUAGAGUAGCGAUACCAGUGAUGUCCCGUGAAAGGUUAUGUCUGUGUAUUUAUUACCGUUAAAAACGACGAGAAAAUUAAAUGUUGCAGUGGUUUCAUCAAUCCAGUUAGAUCCAUCGCAAUGUGUGUAAGAAUUACUACUUAAGAUCUGUAUGCAUUGAACUGUAUUUUCGCAGCGCUGAAUGUAUUAGAAUAGAUGUAGUCGUAGGAGUAGGGUUUACAAAUUUCUCUUGCAGGGUGUUUUCGUUGAUAUUCGUAAACCCAGCCUAUACAAAAUGUAUGUAAAUAAACGUUAUCACUUCCGAAAUUAAUCCUAAGCACGAGCACGAUAAUCACGAAAAAGACCAAAUGGGAACAUAUUAGUAGAUAAUGUUUAGUUGGAUGGUGCGUAUUCGUGAUUGUUAGAGGUUUGUUUUAGUUUCGUGUGCAAACUAAUCUUGGGCUUAACUUGUGGUGGCAUAAGGGUAAUUUAAACUCUAAUUGGCAUAACUGAAGCAAUUAUUUUGCUGUUAAUGUUUUCGUUUGCUUUGCAUUCAACUUCUUUCGCCACCUACACUAAAUAGUACCUUAUCUUAAUCGAGCUAGUCUAGGUUAGUGUUACGUUUUGGUGAUUUCAGCACGUAGCAACAAGAGCUGUGGCUAACGUUAUUGACAUGUGCAAUUUAGUCUAAGCAUGAAGCUUGAAUGGUUCAUGGUAUCAAAACAAUUUUUGCCGACAAAUCCAGCUUGUGUGGUGCAUCGUAUCCAAAUCUGAUUUUAUGUAUCGUAAUAAUGCACAUAACAUUUUGUUGACGCCAAAAUCAUGUAAAUCACCACACUCUGAUGAUAUGUGUGCUUGAUAUUGAACUAUCAUCGGUAUGUUAUUUAUAUAUUAAUUUCUUCGUGUUUAUCUUCAUGUCUUCGCUAUAGACCGCUUCAGUCGCAGACACUACCACACAAGUUAAGUGUUAUGCUCUAUUUCUGAUUUUGUCCUAGUUAUUUGUGUGUUUUUAAAGUUUUAAUAUAUUUGUUUUAUUAUGUAUAUUAUAGCUUUGAAUCAUUCUUACAAUUAGGUAUUUCACUGUUAAUUUUGAUGCUAUCGUAUAUUAUAUUUUAAUUAAAAUGUGUUAACAAUCAAUCCUGGUGUAUUGCAAGGUUUUGUUUGUCUCACUUUGAUUGAUUAUUUGUUUAUCCAAUUAUCCAAAUGUGCAUUUGCACGUGUAAGCUGUUUUAUUCAUAAACGCUAUAUUUUUUAAUAUUCGUUCUAUGUUUAAUAUCUUUAAUGCCAUAUUUGAUAACAAUUUACAUUUAAGCUUAAUGGAAUCUAUAAUAUAUUUUUUUACAGGAACUAUUAUUAUUCUUAAUUAAUACAAAUUCUAAAAUGUAACACGGUUAAUGUAAAUAUUAUGAGGUGUUCUAUACCAGUAGGUAGGAAACAGAUCUAUUUUUAUACAUAUGACUUAAGUAUUUUUUAUAAUAAAAUCACUUAGGAACUUAUGUAUAUCCGGGCGAUGACAUAGGUAGGAUGCUUCACAAUAUAAUUUUAUUUGUAUUGCAUUGAACUGUAAUAAAUUAAAAAAUGUGAUUCCUGUGGAGUUUCUUGCGCCGCUUCUUCUCCACAGAAGGACACUUUCCGAAGCGGUGGUAGUUUUGUUAAAAGUAAUUUCUUGAAACGAUAAAUCAAUAAAUAUUAAAACAAUAUAUAAUAUAAAAACAUUUAAUAAAUAUUUUAAAACUA